rfam:Oryza barthii chromosome 5, whole genome shotgun sequence.
AAAAAGACAAACUCUGGGUUUUCGUGUCCAACGUUUGACUGCCCGUCUUAUAAUAUUUUUUUUUUAUAUUUAGUAUUUUUGUUGUUGUUAGAUGAUAAACAUGAUUAAUACUUUAUGCGUGACUUGUCUUUUUAAUUUUUUUCAUAAUUUUUUCAAAUAAGAUGGACGGUCAAACAUUAGACACAGAAACCCAAGGUUUGUCUUUUU